rnacentral:rRNA from 1 species
AGAGUUUGAUCAUGGCUCAGAUUGAACGCUGGCGGCAUGCUUUACACAUGCAAGUCGAACGGUAACAGGCCGCAAGGUGCUGACGAGUGGCGAACGGGUGAGUAAUGUAUCGGAACGUGCCCAGUCGUGGGGGAUAACGCAGCGAAAGCUGCGCUAAUACCGCAUACGAUCUAUAGAUGAAAGCGGGGGACCGUAAGGCCUCGCGCGAUUGGAGCGGCCGAUAUCAGAUUAGGUAGUUGGUGGGGUAAAGGCUCACCAAGCCAACGAUCUGUAGCUGGUCUGAGAGGACGACCAGCCACACUGGGACUGAGACACGGCCCAGACUCCUACGGGAGGCAGCAGUGGGGAAUUUUGGACAAUGGGCGCAAGCCUGAUCCAGCAAUGCCGCGUGCAGGAAGAAGGCCUUCGGGUUGUAAACUGCUUUUGUACGGAACGAAACGGUCCUGGUUAAUACCUGGGGCUAAUGACGGUACCGUAAGAAUAAGCACCGGCUAACUACGUGCCAGCAGCCGCGGUA